AAACAAAUAAUGUAAUUUAGUAAUAAAUAUGUUUUUUAACAAAACAUGAAAGAAUAAGGAGUGACCACUAAAAAGUUGAAUUACAACUAAAUCUGGAUUUACAGU